rnacentral:rRNA from 1 species
UACAGAGGGUGCGAGCGUUGUCCGGAAUCACUGGGCGUAAGGGGCGCGUAGGUGGCCCGACAAGUCUGUGGUGAAAGCUCGACGCUCAACGUCGAGUCGGCCAUAGAUACUGUUGGGCUGGAGCACUGUAGAGGCUCAUGGAAUUCCGGGUGUAGCGGUGGAAUGCGUAGAGAUCCGGAAAGAACACCGGUGGCGAAGGCGGUGAGCUGGGCAGUAGCUGACACUGAGGCGCGACAGCGUGGGGAGCAAACAGG